rnacentral:rRNA from 1 species
GAUGAACGCUAGCGGGAGGCUUAACACAUGCAAGUCGAAGGGCAGCACGUCUUCGGAUGGUGGCGACUGGCGAACGGGUGCGUAACGCGUAUGCAACCUACCCUCAACAGGGGAAUAGCCCAGAGAAAUUUGGAUUAAUACCCCAUAGUAUUACAGAUUCGCAUGUUUCUGUGAUUAAAGUUCCAACGGUUGAGGAUGGGCAUGCGUGACAUUAGCUUGUUGGUGAGGUAACGGCUCACCAAGGCAACGAUGUCUAGGGGUUCUGAGAGGAUGAUCCCCCACACUGGUACUGAGACACGGACCAGACUCCUACGGGAGGCAGCAGUGAGGAAUAUUGGACAAUGGAGGCGACUCUGAUCCAGCCAUCCCGCGUGCAGGAAGAAGGCCCUAUGGGUUGUAAACUGCUUUUAUACAGGAAUAAACCCCUCUACGUGUAGAGGGCUGAAGGUACUGUAAGAAUAAGCACCGGCUAACUCCGUGCCAGCAGCCGCGGUAA